rnacentral:rRNA from 1 species
ACGAACGCUGGCGGCGUGCUUAACACAUGCAAGUCGAACGAAAAGAGGGAAAGAGCUUGCUCUUUCCGGAAUUGAGUGGCAAACGGGUGAGUAACACGUAAACAACCUGCCUUCAGGAUGGGGACAACAGACGGAAACGACUGCUAAUACCGAAUAGGUUCCAAGAGCCGCAUGGCCCAUGGAAGAAAAGGUGGCCUCUACCUGUAAGCUAUCGCCUGAAGAGGGGUUUGCGUCUGAUUAGCUGGUUGGGGGGGCAACGGCCCACCAAGGCGACGAUCAGUAGCCGGUCUGUGAGGGUGAACUGCCCCACUGGGACUGAGACACGGUCCAGACUCCCACGGGGGGCGGCAGUGGGGAAUCUUCCGCAAUGGGCGAAAGCCUGACGGCGCGACGCCGCGUGAGUGAUGACGGCCUUCGGGUUGUAAAACUCUGUGAUCCGGGACGAAAAGGCAGAGUGCGAAGAACAAACUGCAUUGACGGUACCGGAAAAGCAAGCCACGGCUAACUACGUG